GCCCACAUGGCGGAAUGGUAGACGCGCAUGCUUCAGGUGCAUGUAUUCUUUAAGGAUGUGGAGGUUCAAGUCCUCUUGUGGGCA
rnacentral:tRNA from 1 species